CAUCUGAUACUGCAACUUGUUCCAAAUUUUCUCAAAUUUUUUUAUAGCUUCCACAUGUCAUAAUACUAAACCUCAAAAGUUUUAUGAUUUUUUGACUUUUUUGAAUUUUAUAUAAUUAAAAAUCACCUCUACCACACUUGGAUGGUCAUGUUCUAUGGACAAGGACUUCAAAAUUUUGGGUGAGUUUCUGGACACGGUCUCAAAAUAUACUCUUCAACAUGAAUAUCAUUUUUCGAAUGGCUAAGUUUCAUUAUUUUAUGCACAUGC
rnacentral:lncRNA from 1 species